rnacentral:RNase_MRP_RNA from 12 species
GUGUUGUUUUUUUCGAUAGUGAGGCGAAUAGUCUAUACUAUACUUGACUACAGAGUAGUAGCGGCGAUACAAUAAUCACAUGAUAAUUCAAAAACCCAUGAGUCGCACUAACUGCAUGGGGCUCAUGCUUU